GGGUGUGUGGCCGAGCGGUUUAAGGCACCGGUCUUGAAAACCGGUGUAAGCAUGGCUAAGUGGUUGAUUGGUAAAGAGUUGCGUCUCCGCAUCUC
rfam:Burkholderiales bacterium RIFCSPHIGHO2_01_FTLL_63_240 rifcsphigho2_01_scaffold_79, whole genome shotgun sequence.